rnacentral:rRNA from 1 species
AUACGGAGGGCGCAAGCGUUGUUCGGAAUCAUUGGGCGUAAAGCGCGCGUAGGCGGCUAGGUAAGUCGGGUGUGAAAUCCCGGGGCUCAACCCCGGAACUGCACUCGAAACUGCCUGGCUAGAGUCUCGGAGAGGUAGGCGGAAUUCCCGGUGUAGAGGUGAAAUUCGUAGAUAUCGGGAGGAACACCAGUGGCGAAGGCGGCCUACUGGACGAUGACUGACGCUGAGGUGCGAAAGCGUGGGGAGCAAACAGGAUUAGAUACCCCGGUAGUCC